rnacentral:rRNA from 1 species
ACAAUGGAGAGUUUGAUCUUGGCUCAGGAUGAACGCUAGCGGCAGGCCUAAUACAUGCAAGUCGAACGGUGGUAGCAAUACCAUAGUGGCGCACGGGUGCGUAACGCGUAGCCAACCUGCCCGAAUCUGGGGGAUAGCCCGCCGAAAGGCGGAUUAAUACCGCAUAAAACCACAGAGUGGCAUCACUUAAUGGUUAAAGAUUUAUUGGAUUCGGAUGGGGCUGCGUGCCAUUAGCUAGUUGGGGGGGUAACGGCCCACCAAGGCAACGAUGGCUAGGGGAGCUGAGAGGCUGGUCCCCCACACGGGCACUGAGAUACGGGCCCGACUCCUACGGGAGGCAGCAGUAGGGAAUAUUGGGCAAUGGGCGAGAGCCUGACCCAGCCAUGCC